UACAGAGGGUGCAAACGUUGCUCGGAAUCACUGGGCGUAAAGCGCGUGUAGGCGGGACGGAAAGUCGGGUGUGAAAUCCCUGGGCUCAACCCAGGAACUGCAUCCGAAACUACCAUUCUAGAGUGUCGGAGAGGAAAGCGGAAUUCCUGGUGUAGAGGUGAAAUUCGUAGAUAUCAGGAGGAACACCGGUGGCGAAGGCGGCUUUCUGGACGACAACUGACGCUGAGACGCGAAAGCGUGGGGAGCAAACAGG
rnacentral:rRNA from 1 species